AGCAGCCGCGGUAAUUCCAGCUCCAAUAGCGUAUAUUAAAGUUGUUGCAGUUAAAAAGCUCGUAGUUGAAUUUCGGGAUCAGAUUGUCGGUCGUGCCUCGGUACGUACUGGCAUUAUUGAUUCCUACCUUCUGACGAACCACGAUGUCAUUAAUUUGGUGUCAUGGGGAAUCAGGACUGUUACUUUGAAAAAAUUAGAGUGUUUAAAGCAGGCUCACGCUUGAAUACAUUAGCAUGGAAUAACGAAAUAGGACGUUUGAUUCUAUUUUGUUGGUUUCUAGGAUCGACGUAAUGAUUAAUAGGGAUAGUUGGGGGCAUUAGUAUUCAAUUGUCAGAGGUGAAAUUCUUGGAUUUAUUGAAGACUAACUACUGCGAAAGCAUUUGCCAAGGAUGUUUUCAUUAAUCAAGAACGAAAGUUAGGGGAUCGAAGACGAUCAGAUACCGUCGUAGUCUUAACCAUAAACUAUGCCGACUAGGGAUCGGAUGAUGUAAUUUUUAAUGACUCAUUCGGCGCCG
rnacentral:rRNA from 1 species